UGCAGUCGAGCGGUAACAGGGGUAUGCUUGCUCCCCGCUGACGAGCGGCGGACGGGUGAGUAAUGCUUAGGAAUCUGCCCAGUAGUGGGGGAUAGCCCGGGGAAACCCGGAUUAAUACCGCGUACGCCCUACGGGGGAAAGCAGGGGAUCUUCGGACCUUGCGCUAUUGGAUGAGCCUAUGUCGGAUUAGCUAGUUGGUGGGGUAAAGGCCUACCAAGGCGACGAUCCGUAGCUGGUCUGAGAGGAUGAUCAGCCACAUCGGGACUGAGACACGGCCCGAACUCCUACGGGAGGCAGCAGUGGGGAAUAUUGGACAAUGGGGGCAACCCUGAUCCAGCCAUGCCGCGUGUGUGAAGAAGGCUUUCGGGUUGUAAAGCACUUUCAGUGAGGAGGAAAAGUUUGUCGUUAAUACCGGCGAGGCUUGACGUUACUUACAGAAGAAGCACCGGCUAACUCCGUGCCAGCAGCCGCGGUAAUACGGAGGGUGCAAGCGUUAAUCGGAAUUACUGGGCGUAAAGCGCGCGUAGGUGGUUUGAUAAGCGAGAUGUGAAAGCCCCGGGCUUAACCUGGGGAACGGCAUUUCGAACUGUCAGACUAGAGUGUGGUAGAGG
rnacentral:rRNA from 1 species